rnacentral:rRNA from 1 species
GACGAACCGAGCGAACGUUAUUCGGAAUCACUGGGCGUAAAGGGCGUGUAGGCGGUCCGCUAAGUCUGAUGUGAAAGCCCGGGGCUCACCCCCGGAAGUGCAUUGGAAACUGGCGGACUCGAGUCCCGGAGAGGAGAGUGGAAUUCCUGGCGUAGCGGUGAAAUGCGUAGAUAUCAGGAGGAACACCCGUGGCGAAAGCGGCUCUCUGGGACGGUACUGACGCUGAGACGCGAAAGCGUGGGGAGCAAACAGG